GACGAACGCUGGCGGCGUGCUUAACACAUGCAAGUCGAACGGAAAGGCCCUGCUUUUGUGGGGUGCUCGAGUGGCGAACGGGUGAGUAACACGUGAGUAACCUGCCCUUGACUUUGGGAUAACUUCAGGAAACUGGGGCUAAUACCGGAUAGGAGCUCCUGCUGAAUGGUGGGGGUUGGAAAGUUUCGGCGGUUGGGGAUGGACUCGCGGCUUAUCAGCUUGUUGGGGGGGUAGUGGCUUACCAAGGCUUUGACGGGUAGCCGGCCUGAGAGGGUGACCGGCGACAUUGGGCCUGAGAUACGGCCCAGACUCCUACGGUAGGCAGCAGUGGGGAAUAUUGCACAAUGGGCGGAAGCCUGAUGCAGCAACGCCGCGUGCGGGAUGACGGCCUUCGGGUUGUAAACCGCUUUCGCCUGUGACGAAGCGUGAGUGACGGUAAUGGGUAAAGAAGCACCGGCUAACUACGUG
rnacentral:rRNA from 1 species